rnacentral:lncRNA from 1 species
UUUUGAUAAAUUUAAAAUUAAAUUUGGGCUCUGAAAGUUUUACAAGGUGAUAGGUUUUACACUUUGUGGAAUGAAUCGUACUUAUAUGACAUUGUAACAACUCAUUCCGAAACAUGGAGGUAGAUUGUGAAAGGAAAUGCCAACGUCUUUAUCUUUGUUUUGCUACGUUUAUUCACACAGGUGGUGUCCUUAACUUUUCCGCAGGAAUGUGUUUUCGAUUGUAUAAAGAUAUUACCCACGAAGACCAGGAUUUCUUCAUGAGAUUUGGCUAUUCCUUUAAAUAUGCCUCUAUGGUAAACGCAGUAAUCCAGUUGUUAUAUUUCUUUAUGGCUCUCACAGUUGACAUUAUGAUAAUUUGUUCCUAUACUUUGGACGCACCUCCCCGAUGGUUGAAGGCGAGAUCAUUCUUUAGAUUGGCGCUAGCUAUACCAUGUGGAUUUUAUACAUGUGUGAUGUUUUGGCUAUUAAGUUGGUACGAUGUCACCGUGUUGGGUGAUUACGAUUCGCCAUUGUUGCGUCAUGCAUUCCACACGUCGAACCUCGUUCUUUUAAUGUUUGAUAUGAUCUUCUGCAAGGGUGAACCUUCCAGCAUUAUAAAAUCUCUACUUGUGAUAAAUAUCCCAUGUAUAAUUUUCUUCAUAUGGCUACAUAUCAUUUAUUACUUCACUGGCGAGUGGGCGAUUUCUUUCGUGAAAAAUCGAACCCUCGUGGAAAGGCUGUUAAUAUACGUUGGAACUGUACUGGAACAUUGGGUGGUUUAUUUCAUUGGUAGACUUUUUAAUGACAUUUUGUGGAAUGAAGAUUUCGUCGCUCGAAUCCCGUUUUUACGCCGUUUUGUCUCAGUGCCUCCUCGCUUCAUAUUUGGACGUCCUUCUACAGAUUCUACCAAAUUUGAAAAAGUCUUGAGCCGAACCGAAAGCAUAUUUGUGGACCGACCAAAUAAAUAGAGGAAAACUCAGUCCAACUGAAAGCAAGUUCCUUAAAAGUGAUGAUAUUCGGUUCUAUAUUAAGUUUAUUUGAGGUAACUCUGAUAAGAAAUGCUCCUUUUCGCACUAAUAAAUGAAAAUAUGAAAAUAUUUUUCUUUAGUACUUUCCUAUAAAUAUAUCACACAUUUGCAAUAAAAAAACAUCUUAUCCAUCCGACAUUCACAUGUUUCACAUGUCGAACACAUAAUCGGAUUUAGUAUCGACUAGAAAUGAAAGAUUUGAGUUACUGAACGCCUGCCAGACGUCUAAAAGCUUCACUCCCGCCCCUGGAAUUUUCCGACAUCACAAAAUAUCUUAACUCUGUUCAUCAUACUCUAGCUAGGCUAAUGUAGUAGACAUAAGACUAGAUUCUUUCGCAUUAUACCACUAUGAUGCCAAGUCCAUCGAAGACAGUCUCAUUCAUAACUUCCCACUGUCGUAAUGUCUUCUUUUUUUUCAAUCAAUUCCACUUUCUUAAGAUUACCUAGUUUCAAAGAUCGAUGAGAAACUUGUACUUUCAAAAGCCCAAACCUCUUCGCCCCGUAAUCUUUCUAAAGCACUACUAUACACAGCUGACACAACGGAGAUAAUACUGUAAUUCUAUACUACAGAAAUUCAUAUAGGAGUUAUGACU